AGUGAACGCUGGCGGUAGGCCUAACACAUGCAAGUCGAACGGCAGCACAGUAAGAGCUUGCUCUUACGGGUGGCGAGUGGCGGACGGGUGAGGAAUACAUCGGACUCUACUUUUUCGUGGGGGAUAACGUAGGGAAACUUACGCUAAUACCGCAUCCGACCUACGGGUGAAAGCAGGGGAUCUUCGGACCUUGCGCGAUUGAAUGCGCCGAUGUCGGAUUAGCUAGUUGGCGGGGUAAAGGCCCACCAAGGCGGCGAUCCGUAGCUGGUCUGAGAGGAUGAUCAGCCACACGGGAGGGGGAACACGGUCAAGAGUACUACGGGAGGGAGCAGUGGGGUAUGUGGGACAAUAGGGGCAAGCAUGAUCCAGCCAUAGCGCGUGGGUGAAGGAGGCGCUCGGGUUGUAAAGCCCUUUUGUUGGGAAAGAAAAGCAGCAGGUUAAUACCCCGCUGUUCUGACGGUACCGAAAGAAUAAGCACCGGCUAACUUCGUG
rnacentral:rRNA from 1 species